ensembl:rRNA 5S_rRNA 5S ribosomal RNA
GUCUAUGGCCAUACCACCCUGAACACACCCAAUCUCAUCUGAUCUCGGAAGCUAAGCAGAGUCGCCUGGUUAGUACUUGGAAGGGAGACCACCUGGGAGUACCAGGUGCUGUAGGCU